GAUACAUUACUUAUUUUUGUUUUGGAUAAGGUGGAUGAGUUUUAAAUUUUAUUUUGUUAAAGACCAAUUAGUAAGCCCACGUGCUAAAAGCAUGAUUAAUAUAAGAGUUACAUUUACAUUUUUGCCAUUUUUUUUUUUCCACCGUGAUAUUAAAAUUAGCGAUCGGCAAGGACUAGACGAGCAUCGGCAUCGCGGCCACAGCGAUCAACCUAGCGCCGGACCUUCAGGUGGCGAUCUUUAAAGCGACAUCGCACGGCGAGCAAGAAGCAAGUAUACGAGAUCAUCAUCGUUGCGAGCCGAGUAUCGGCGCCUGGUUGAAAGGAGGUUUUCGUAUUGAAUCUGGGCUCCUUUUGGACUCUUCUCGAUUGCAGUCCUGAUUUUGUUAGUCGUUCACCAUAAUCAGCAUGAAGAUCGGGUCGAACAGCCUGUACUGGUGAAUAAAGGGCAACGGAGUUGGUCAUCUACAGACGGUGGCAGGCGAUGGCGGCCAAUGGUGGUGGUGGUAGGUGGCCGGCGGCGGGAGUCCGACGGUGGUGGUCGGCGACGGGCAGUGGCGGCCAACGGUGGUGGUGGCAGGUGGCCGGCAACGGGAGUCCGGCGGUGGUGGCCGGCGGCGGAAGUCCGGCGGUGGUGGCCGGCGGCGAGAUAUGAUUGGCUAGAUAUGGACAUGUGGCAUAGUAUGCUUGCCUUAGAAGGAGUGGCAUUGUGUGUAAUUUUGAUAUGUUUUAAUGAUAUUUUUGUAAAAUUAGGUACCACAAUUUGGUCUUUUGCCUUAUGCUAAUUAGAUGAAAUUGUAUUAUUAUCUUCCAAAUUAGUAAAACUAUAUUGUGUUUUAAAACUAAAGCUCCCUUAUUUUAA